CCUACGGGAGGCAGCAGUGGGGAAUAUUGGUCAAUGGAGGAAACUCUGAACCAGCAACGCCGCGUGAAUGAUGAAGGUCUUCGGAUUGUAAAGUUCUUUUCUAAGGGAAGAAGAAAGUGACGGUACCUUAGGAAUAAGCUUCGGCUAACUACGUGCCAGCAGCCGCGGUAAUACGUAGGAGGCGAGCGUUAUCCGGAAUGACUGGGCGUAAAGGGUGCGUAGGUCGUUUGACAAGUUGGAAGCGUAACUCCGGGGAUCAACCUCGGCACUACUGCCGAGACUGUCGGACUUGAGUGCAGGAGGGGCAAUUGGAAUUCCUGGUGUAGCGGUGGAAUGCGCAGAUAUUAGGAGGAACACCGGUGGCGAAGGCGAAUUGCUGGACUGUAACUGACGCUGAGGCACGAAAGCGUGGGGAGCAAACAGGAUUAGAUACCCGAGUAGUC
rnacentral:rRNA from 1 species